CAGAGCGUAGCUAAAAUAGAAUAGCAUCUCUCUUACACUGAGAAGACUGCCCGAUGCAAAUCGGGCCGCACUGA
rnacentral:tRNA from 1 species